GUGGGGAAUUUUGGACAAUGGGGGCAACCCUGAUCCAGCCAUGCCGCGUGCGGGAAGAAGGCCUUCGGGUUGUAAACCGCUUUUGUCAGGGAAGAAAUCCUUUGGGUUAAUACCUCGGAGGGAUGACGGUACCUGAAGAAUAAGCACCGGCUAACUACGUGCCAGCAGCCGCGGUAAUACGUAGGGUGCGAGCGUUAAUCGGAAUUACUGGGCGUAAAGCGUGCGCAGGCGGUUUUGUAAGAUCGAUGUGAAAUCCCCGGGCUCAACCUGGGAACUGCAUUGGUGACUGCAAGGCUGGAGUGCGGCAGAGGGGGAUGGAAUUCCGCGUGUAGCAGUGAAAUGCGUAGAUAUGCGGAGGAACACCGAUGGCGAAGGCAGCCUCCUGGGAUGACACUGACGCUCAUGCACGAAAGCGUGGGGAGCAAACAGGAUUAGAAACCCCUGUAGUCC
rnacentral:rRNA from 1 species